AUUUUCAGGUCUGUUAUCCGAGCUCCA
rnacentral:piRNA from 1 species